rnacentral:rRNA from 1 species
GAGAACUCGGGUGAAGGAACUAGGCAAAAUGGUACCGUAACUUCGGGAGAAGGUACGCUCUUGAUGGUGAAGUCCCUCGCGGAUGGAGCUGACGAGAGUCGCAGAUACCAGGUGGCUGCAACUGUUUAUUAAAAACACAGCACUGUGCAAAAUCGUAAGAUGACGUAUACGGUGUGACGCCUGCCCGGUGCCGGAAGGUUAAUUGAUGGGGUUAGACUUCGGUCGAAGCUCUUGAUCGAAGCCCCGGUAAACGGCGGCCGUAACUAUAACGGUCCUAAGGUAGCGAAAUUCCUUGUCGGGUAAGUUCCGACCUGCACGAAUGGCGUAAUGAUGGCCACGCUGUCUCCACCCGAGACUCAGUGAAAUUGAAAUCGCUGUGAAGAUGCAGUGUACCCGCGGCUAGACGGAAAGACCCCGUGAACCUUUACUACAGCUUGGCACUGAACAUUGACCCUACAUGUGUAGGAUAGGUGGGAGGCUUUGAAGCACGUACGCCAGUAUGUGUGGAGCCGUCCUUGAAAUACCACCCUUGUAGUGUUGAUGUUCUAACGUCGACCCCUAAUCGGGGUUGCGGACAGUGCCUGGUGGGUAGUUUGACUGGGGCGGUCUCCUCCCAAAGAGUAACGGAGGAGCACGAAGGUGGGCUAAUCACGGUUGGACAUCGUGAGGUUAGUGCAAUGGCAUAAGCCCGCUUGACUGCGAGAAUGACAAUUCGAGCAGGUGCGAAAGCAGGUCAUAGUGAUCCGGUGGUUCUGAAUGGAAGGGCCAUCGCUCAACGGAUAAAAGGUACUCCGGGGAUAACAGGCUGAUACCGCCCAAGAGUUCAUAUCGACGGCGGUGUUUGGCACCUCGAUGUCGGCUCAUCACAUCCUGGGGCUGAAGUCGGUCCCAAGGGUAUGGCUGUUCGCCAUUUAAAGUGGUACGCGAGCUGGGUUUAGAACGUCGUGAGACAGUUCGGUCCCUAUCUGCCGUGGGCGUUGGAAGAUUGAAGGGGGCUGCUCCUAGUACGAGAGGACCGGAGUGGACGAACCUCUGGUGUUCGGGUUGUGUCGCCAGACGCAUUGCCCGGUAGCUAAGUUCGGAAUCGAUAACCGCUGAAAGCAUCUAAGCGGGAAGCGAGCCCUGAGAUGAGUCUUCCCUGAUACUUUAAGUAUCCUAAAGGGUUGUCGGAGACUACGACGUUGAUAGGUCAGGUGUGUAAGUGCUGUGAGGCAUUGAGCUAACUGAUACUAAUUGCCCGUGAGGCUUAACCAUACAACACCCAAGGGGUUU